rnacentral:rRNA from 1 species
GACAGAGGCCUCGAGCGUUAGGCGGAAUCACUGGGCUUAAAGCGUGUGUAGGCGGAUCGUUAAGUACCUUGUGAAAUCCCACGGCUCAACCGUGGAACGGCUGGGUAUAUUGGCGGUCUUGGGCCAUUCAGGGGCGACUGGAACAAGCGGUGGAGCGGUGAAAUGCGUAGAUAUCGCUUGGAACGCCGAAGGUGAAAACAGGUCGCUGGGGAUGUGCCGACGCUGAGACACGAAAGCCAGGGGAGCAAACGGG